rnacentral:lncRNA from 1 species
GACCCUCUUAGUAAAUCCAGAGAACUAUUUUUCUGUCUUGUUUUGAGGAUCUUGAUCCUUGGGUCGACUCAUGCUUUCCUUGGGUCGACCCAACUCACUGUUCAUCUUUGCCAUUUUUGCAGAAGUGUGCCAAAUAUUUUCUUGAUGUGCCGGGGUCGACCCAAUCAUCCUUUGGGUCGACUCAAUCCACACUUUGCUGCAUCUCAAGAUUAGAUUCAUUCAAAUGAACAAUGAAAUGUAUCUAUAUCAAUUAAUACAAAAUAUACUGAGAGUAAUAAACUUAUAAAUGAAGUAUCGGUUUAACUUAUAACAUACUCUAGAUAAUUGCUUGUUAAUCAUCAAAAUAACACUAUCAUCCUCUAUCUCCCCCUUUUUGAUGAUUACAAAAUAAAGAGUAUGAGCCUAUUGAUACUUAUCUUAAAUUCAGUUUUUGAAAGGGUUUAACUUGCUGAAUUUCAGCUUUUCAUAUAUAAGAGUGAAGUCUCCCCCUAUAUCAUUUAAAUGUUGCCAAUUUGACUUUUUGUGUUACUCCCCCUUUCAUUUAUAAUUCAUUAAAGAUGNNNNNNNNNNNNNNNNNNNNNNNNNNNNNNNNNNNNNNNAUGUAUCGAGGUGUGAAAGGUGCGUGCCAAAUUCUAAAUUUAUGUGUGCCAAAUUCUGAAAUUUGAUAUAAAUUGUUGAGUUGAACAUUUUCAUUGUUGCAAAUUGCUCCCCCUUGGAUGUAUAUGCUUUCCUAUAUGAUUUUCAAUUUGUUUUAUAAAUUAUUUUACUUUCUUUCUUUACUUCUCCCCUUAUUACUCUUUCUUUACUUCUCCCCCUUUUUGUUACUCUAUUUACUUUUAUUUUUACUUCUCUCCUAUUUACUCUUUCUUUACUUCUCCCCCUUUUUGUUAUCAUCAAAUAGGUACAUGGGAAAAGAUGCAAUAAAUAACAACCAUUCAAACUUCAUUGAUCAAAAUAGGAACAUUUGAGUACAUUCAUGUCCAAAAAUAAAAACAAAUACAAUGUUCCUN